rnacentral:misc_RNA from 1 species
UGGAAGUAAAAAUCGUAACAAGGUUUCCGUAGGUGAACCUGCGGAAGGAUCAUUACCGAGUGCGGGCUGCCUCCGGGCGCCCAACCUCCCACCCGUGACUACCUAACACUGUUGCUUCGGCGGGGAGCCCUCUCGGGGGCGAGCCGCCGGGGACUACUGAACUUCAUGCCUGAGAGUGAUGCAGUCUGAGUCUGAAUAUAAAAUCAGUCAAAACUUUCAACAAUGGAUCUCUUGGUUCCGGCAUCGAUGAAGAACGCAGCGAACUGCGAUAAGUAAUGUGAAUUGCAGAAUUCAGUGAAUCAUCGAGUCUUUGAACGCACAUUGCGCCCCCUGGCAUUCCGGGGGGCAUGCCUGUCCGAGCGUCAUUGCUGCCCAUCAAGCCCGGCUUGUGUGUUGGGUCGUCGUCCCCCCCGGGGGACGGGCCCGAAAGGCAGCGGCGGCACCGUGUCCGGUCCUCGAGCGCAUGGGGCUUUGUCACCCGCUCGAUUAGGGCCGGCCGGGCGCCAGCCGACGUCUCCAACCAUUUUUUUCAGGUUGACCUCGGAUCAGGUAGGGAUACCCGCUGAACUUAAGCAUAUCAAUAAGCGGAGGAAAAGAAACCAACCGGGAUUGCCCCAGUAACGGCGAGUGAAGCGGCAAGAGCUCAAAUUUGAAAUCUGGCCCCUCCGGGGUCCGAGUUGUAAUUUGCAGAGGAUGCUUC